rnacentral:rRNA from 1 species
UAACCGCUGAAAGCAUCUAAGUGGGAAGCCGGCCACGAGAUUAGAUUUCCCUGGGAGUUCAACUCCCCUGAAGACUCCUCAGAUACUAUGAGGUUGAUAGGUUGCAGGUGUAAGUGCCGCGAGGUAUUCAGCCGAGCAAUACUAAUAAGUCGUGAGGCUUGGCCUU